UACGUAGGGCGCGAGCGUUGUCCGGAUUUAUUGGGCGUAAAGAGCUCGUAGGCGGCUUGUCGCGUCGACUGUGAAAACCCGCGGCUCAACCGCGGGCCUGCAGCCGAUACGGGCAGACUAGAGUGUGGUAGGGGAGACUGGAAUUCCUGGUGUAGCGGUGAAAUGCGCAGAUAUCAGGAGGAACACCGAUGGCGAAGGCAGGUCUCUGGGCCACUACUGACGCUGAGAAGCGAAAGCAUGGGGAGCGAACAGG
rnacentral:rRNA from 1 species